CUCCAGAGACGAGGGUGGUCGCCAAUCCUGGACGAGCCCCCAAAUGAAAGACCCCCGAAGCGGGUAGACUCUCACUCAAGUCUCGGGAAUGACACAACCCCCGAAGAAUUCAUGAGAAA
rnacentral:pre_miRNA from 14 species